GACGAACGCUGGCGGCGUGCUUAACACAUGCAAGUCGAGCGAGGCCCCUCCUUCGGGAGGGUGUCCUAGCGGCGAACGGGUGAGUAACACGUGGGCAACCUGCCCUCAGCUCUGGGAUAACUCCGGGAAACCGGGGCUAAUACCGGAUACGACCUCCACGGGCAUCUGCGGAGGUGGAAAGUUUUUCGGCUGAGGAUGGGCCCGCGGCCUAUCAGCUAGUUGGUGGGGUAGUGGCCCACCAAGGCGACGACGGGUAGCCGGCCUGAGAGGGCGACCGGCCACACUGGGACUGAGACACGGCCCAGACUCCUACGGGAGGCAGCAGUGGGGAAUAUUGCGCAAUGGGCGAAAGCCUGACGCAGCGACGCCGCGUGAGGGGCGAAGGCCUUCGGGUUGUAAACCUCUUUCAGCAGGGACGAAGCGAAAGUGACGGUACCUGCAGAAGAAGCACCGGCCAACUACGUGC
rnacentral:rRNA from 1 species